rnacentral:rRNA from 1 species
GAAUUCGCCCUUAGAGUUUGAUCCUGGCUCAGGACGAACGCUGGCGGCGCGCCUAACACAUGCAAGUCGAACGAGCGAGAGGAGGUUUACUUUCUCAAGCGAGUGGCGAACGGGUGAGUAACGCGUGAGGAACCUGCCUCAAAGAGGGGGACAACAGUUGGAAACGACUGCUAAUACCGCAUAAGCCCACGACCCGGCAUCGGGUAGAGGGAAAAGGAGCAAUCCGCUUUGAGAUGGCCUCGCGUCCGAUUAGCUAGUUGGUGAGGUAAUGGCCCACCAAGGCGACGAUCGGUAGCCGGACUGAGAGGUUGAACGGCCACAUUGGGACUGAGACACGGCCCAGACUCCUACGGGAGGCAGCAGUGGGGAAUAUUGCACAAUGGGGGAAACCCUGACGCAGCGACGCCGCGUGCGGGACGGAGGCCUUCGGGUCGUAAACCGCUUUCAGCAGGGAAGAGUCAAGACUGUACCUGCAGAAGAAGCCCCGGCUAACUACGUGCCAGCAGCCGCGGUAAUACGUAGGGGGCGAGCGUUAUCCGGAUUCAUUGGGCGUAAAGCGCGCGUAGGCGGCCCGGCAGGCCGGGGGUCGAAGCGGGGGGCUCAACCCCCCGAAGCCCCCGGAACCUCCGCGGCUUGGGUCCGGUAGGGGGAGGGUGGAACACCCGGUGUAGCGGUGGAAUGCGCAGAUAUCGGGUGGAACACCGGUGGCGAAGGCGGCCCUCUGGGCCGAGACCGACGCUGAGGCGCGAAAGCUGGGGGAGCGAACAGGAUUAGAUACCCUGGUAGUCCCAGCCGUAAACGAUGGACGCUAGGUGUGGGGGGGCGAUCCCCCCGUGCCGCAGCCAACGCAUUAAGCGUCCCGCCUGGGGAGUACGGCCGCAAGGCUAAAACUCAAAGGAAUUGACGGGGGCCCGCACAAGCAGCGGAGCAUGUGGUUUAAUUCGACGCAACGCGAAGAACCUUACCAAGUCUUGACAUCCCGCGACGCACAUAGAAAUAUGUGUUUCCUUCGGGACGCAGAGACAGGUGGUGCAUGGUUGUCGUCAGCUCGUGUCGUGAGAUGUUGGGUUAAGUCCCGCAACGAGCGCAACCCUUACUGUCAGUUACUACGCAAGAGGACUCUGGCAGGACUGCCGUUGACAAAACGGAGGAAGGUGGGGAUGACGUCAAAUCAUCAUGCCCUUUAUGACUUGGGCUACACACGUACUACAAUGGCGUUAAACAAAGAGAAGCAAGACCGCGAGGUGGAGCAAAACUCAGAAACAACGUCCCAGUUCGGACUGCAGGCUGCAACUCGCCUGCACGAAGUCGGAAUUGCUAGUAAUCGUGGAUCAGCAUGCCACGGUGAAUACGUUCCCGGGCCUUGUACACACCGCCCGUCA